rnacentral:rRNA from 1 species
GACGAACGCUGGCGGCGUGCCUAACACAUGCAAGUCGAGCGUGAACCGUCUGAAUGAAGCUUCGGUCGAGUGAGGAUGGGGAAAGCGGCGGACGGGUGAGUAACGCGUAGGCAACCUGCCCCGUACAGAGGGAUAGCCUCGGGAAACCGGGAUUAAGACCUCAUAAUACCAUUAUCUCACAUGUGAUAAUGGUCAAAGAUUUUAUCGGUAUGGGAUGGGCCUGCGUCUGAUUAGCUGGUUGGUGGGGUAACGGCUCACCAAGGCGACGAUCAGUAGCCGACCUGAGAGGGUAAUCGGGCCACAUUGGAACUGAGACACGGUCCAAACUCCUACGGGAGGCAGCAGUGGGAAUAUUGCACAAUGGGCGAAAGCCUGAUGCAGCAACGCCGCGUGAGCGAGGAAGGCCUUUGGGUCGUAAAGCUCUGUCGAGGAGGAAGAUAAUGACGGUACUCCGUCGAGGAACGCCCCGGCUAACCUACGUGCCAGCCAGGCCCGACGGUAAACCU